rnacentral:rRNA from 1 species
UACAGAGGCCUCGAGCGUUAGGCGGAAUCACUGGGCUUAAAGCGUGUGUAGGCGGAUGCCUAAGUACCUUGUGAAAUCCCACGGCUCACCCGUGGAACUGCUGGGUAUACUGCCUGUCUUGAGUCAUCUAGGGGCGAGCGGAACAAAUGGUGGAGCGGUGAAAUGCGUAGAUAUCAUUUGGAACGCCAAUGGUGAAAACAGCUCGCUGGGGAUGUACUGACGCUGAGACACGAAAGCCAGGGGAGCAAACGGG